GAUGAACGCUGGCGGCGUGCUUAACACAUGCAAGUCGAACGAAGACAUCUGAGUGCUUGCACUUGGAUGGACUGAGUGGCGGACGGGUGAGUAACGCGUGGGUAACCUGCCUUAUACAGGGGGAUAACAGUUGGAAACGACUGCUAAUACCGCAUAAGCGCACGGUAUCGCAUGAUACAGUGUGAAAAACUCCGGUGGUAUAAGAUGGACCCGCGUCUGAUUAGCUUGUUGGUGAGGUAACGGCCCACCAAGGCGACGAUCAGUAGCCGGCCUGAGAGGGUNAACGGCCACAUUGGGACU
rnacentral:rRNA from 1 species